UUAUGAAUAAGGAUCGGCUAACUCCGUGCCAGCAGCCGCGGUAAUACGGAGGAUCCGAGCGUUAUCCGGAUUUAUUGGGUUUAAAGGGAGCGUAGGCGGGUUGUUAAGUCAGUUGUGAAAGUUUGCGGCUCAACCGUAAAAUUGCAGUUGAUACUGGCGACCUUGAGUGCAACAGAGGUAGGCGGAAUUCGUGGUGUAGCGGUGAAAUGCUUAGAUAUCACGAAGAACUCCGAUUGCGAAGGCAGCUUACUGGAUUGUAACUGACGCUGAUGCUCGAAAGUGUGGGUAUCAAACAGGAUUAGAUACCCUGGUAGUCCACACAGUAAACGAUGAAUACUCGCUGUUUGCGAUAUACAGUAAGCGGCCAAGCGAAAGCAUUAAGUAUUCCACCUGGGGAGUACGCCGGCAACGGUGAAACUCAAAGGAAUUGACGGGGGCCCGCACAAGCGGAGGAACAUGUGGUUUAAUUCGAUGAUACGCGAGGAACCUUACCCGGGCUUAAAUUGCAACUGACUGAACCGGAAACGGUUCUUUCUUCGGACAGUUGUGAAGGUGCUGCAUGGUUGUCGUCAGCUCGUGCCGUGAGGUGUCGGCUUAAGUGCCAUAACGAGCGCAACCCUUGUUGUCAGUUACUAACAGGUUCUGCUGAGGACUCUGACAAGACUGCCAUCGUAAGAUGUGAGGAAGGUGGGGAUGACGUCAAAUCAGCACGGCCCUUACGUCCGGGGCUACACACGUGUUACAAUGGGGGGUACAGAAGGCAGCUACACGGCGACGUGAUGCUAAUCCCAAAAACCUCUCUCAGUUCGGAUCGAAGUCUGCAACCCGACUUCGUGAAGCUGGAUUCGCUAGUAAUCGCGCAUCAGCCAUGGCGCGGUGAAUACGUUCCCGGGCCUUGUACACACCGCCCGUCAAGCCAUGAAAGCCGGGGGUACCUGAAGUACGUAACCGCGAGGAGCGUCCUAGGGUAAAACUGGUGAUUGGGGCUAAGUCGUAACAAGGUAGCCGUACCGGAAGGUGCGGCUG
rnacentral:rRNA from 1 species